rnacentral:misc_RNA from 1 species
AUUGAAGUUUUUACUCCAAGAAACUUAGUAAGUAAGUAAAUUUUGACGUUUUAUGGAAGUGUGAAUGAGAGACAACGUAAAGAUCAGUUUGUUAAUGAUACUAUUUGGUGAUUUCCCCCUCAAAGGAACGUAAAAGACAUGUCUCACCGCUCGAUCACGAGAAUAAAUUGACGAAUGUUUAUGAAGGAAUGUCCCUGACCUCGUAUUGUACAAUGUAUGCCUAAUAUUGGAGAAUUUACACUGUCUCUCACUUGACUUCGGCAGCCCUGUCGGGAUUAGUCAGGUGAAUUGUUGUUUAAUCGGGGUUUUGGUUGUCUUUGUUGAAAUGUAAAAAAAAAUAUGCAGUAUACUCUACCAACUACAGUGAACUAUGAAUGUCAGGUAUGGCACUCUGUAGACACGUGAAAAUUGUGAUAUUUUUAUUGAUGCAGGGAAUUUUAUUGAAUUCCAGAUGAGUAAAAGUGUUGGUAUAAGGCAGUGGAAGUUAUCAAUUGACCACCAAUAGCACCAAUUUGUGUUAAAUCAUGUUGAUCAACACAAGUAGAGAAUCAUGAUCUAUAGUUACAGAUUGUAUACAUUUAUUUGAUAUUCCUUAUUCAGACAAAAUAAUUUCAUUUGCUUUAACAUACACUGUGAACUGUGUUUUAUAUUCUACUUCAUAGGUCAGAUUGGAUAAUUUUUUGUCUUAAGUAUUGUUAUAAGCGGUUCUGUAGUUUUCUAGUUCAUCUGAUACUGUUACAGGUUUUAAUGGUAUUGCUAUUUUCAUCAAUUUCAAAGUUGAACUUUAAAAACUUUAUUUAUUUUUUUUACUGAAUUCAUCAUCAAGACUAAAUAUAAUUACUCUUAUUAGGACUUGUAUUAAUGACUUUUUUGUACAUAAAAUUAACAAUUUCUUUAUGACAGUAAUGCUACUUUUGUAUUUUAGCAAGUGUUAGUGCUUUCAUUGCAGACUAUUAAUAUACAGGCGUAAAAACAUU